UACGGAGGGUGCAAGCGUUAAUCGGAAUCACUGGGCGUAAAGCGCACGUAGGCUGUUAUGUAAGUCAGGGGUGAAAGCCCACGGCUCAACCGUGGAACUGCCCUUGAUACUGCACGACUUGAAUCCGGGAGAGGGUGGCGGAAUUCCAGGUGUAGGAGUGAAAUCCGUAGAUAUCUGGAGGAACAUCAGUGGCGAAGGCGGUCACCUGGACCGGUAUUGACGCUGAGGUGCGAAAGCGUGGGGAGCAAACAGG
rnacentral:rRNA from 1 species